rnacentral:rRNA from 1 species
UUCUAAAAAAUAGUAAGGGCAUAUGGUGAAUGCCUUGGAAAAUGGAGCCGAAGAAGGACGUGACUACCUGCGAAAAGCAUCGGGGAGCUGGAAGUGAGCUUAGAUCCGGUGAUGUCCGAAUGGGGAAACCCAAUACGAUUUACCUCGUAUUGUCUGACUAGUGAAUACAUAGCUAGCAUGACGGGAACCUUGGGAAUUGAAACAUCUUAGUACCAAGAGGAAUAGAAAAUAAUAAUGAUUCUCCUAGUAGCGGCGAGCGAACGGGGAAGAGGCCAAACCGCUUUUCGAAGCGGGGUUGUAGGACUUUUGUUAGAGUUACAAAAUUGACAUAUAGUAGAACAGAUUGGGAAAUCUGAGCG